CCGCUGCUGCUGAGGCGGCGGUGUCGGCAGUCCGACCCCGACCGCCUGCACCCCCUCCGCGAGGGUCCCCCGGAGCUUGGACGCUCCAAGUCUGGCUGUAGCCAUGGGAGACAUGGUAGUGGAGCCUGCUACCCUGAAGCCAACUUCUGAGUCUACUCCUAGCCCAUCAGGGAAUAACGGGGGCUCCUUGCUAAGCGUCAUCACAGAGGGGGUCGGGGAACUGUCAGUGAUUGACCCUGAGGUGGCCCAGAAGGCCUGCCAGGAGGUGCUGGAAAAAGUCAAGCUUUUGCGUGGAAGUGUAGCUGUCUCUAGCAAAGGGACCCCGCUGGAGCUGGUGAAUGGGGAUGGUGUGGACAAUGAGAUACGUUGCCUAGAUGAUCCACCUGCCCAGAUCAGGGAAGAAGAAGAUGAGUUGGGGGCCACUGUGGCCUCUGGCACAGCCAAAGGAGCAAGAAGACGACGACAGAACAACUCAGCCAAACAGUCUUGGCUCCUGAGACUGUUUGAGUCAAAACUAUUUGACAUCUCUAUGGCCAUUUCAUACUUGUAUAACUCCAAGGAGCCUGGAGUGCAAGCCUACAUUGGCAACCGCCUCUUCUGCUUCCGCAAUGAGGAUGUGGACUUCUAUUUGCCCCAGUUGCUUAACAUGUAUAUUCACAUGGAUGAGGAUGUGGGCGAUGCCAUUAAACCCUACAUAGUCCACCGAUGUCGGCAGAGCAUCAACUUUUCUCUGCAGUGUGCCCUGUUGCUUGGGGCCUACUCUUCAGACAUGCACAUUUCCACUCAGCGACACUCCCGAGGGACCAAGUUACGGAAGCUGAUCCUCUCAGAUGAGCUGAAACCAGCUCACCGAAAGAGGGAACUGCCAUCUUUGAGCCCAGCCCCUGACACAGGGCUGUCUCCCUCUAAAAGGACUCACCAGCGCUCUAAGUCAGAUGCUACAGCCAGCAUAAGUCUCAGCAGCAACCUGAAGCGAACAGCCAGCAACCCUAAAGUGGAGAAUGAGGAUGAGGAGCUCUCCUCCAGCACCGAGAGUGUUGAUAAUUCAUUCAGUUCCCCUGUCCGGCUGGCCCCUGAACGAGAAUUCAUCAAAUCCUUGAUGGCGAUCGGCAAACGGCUGGCCACACUCCCCACUAAAGAGCAGAAAACACAAAGGCUGAUCUCAGAGCUCUCUCUGCUGAACCACAAACUCCCUGCCCGAGUCUGGCUGCCCACUGCUGGCUUUGACCACCACGUGGUCCGUGUGCCCCAUACACAAGCUGUUGUCCUCAAUUCCAAGGACAAGGCUCCCUACCUGAUCUACGUGGAAGUUCUUGAAUGUGAAAACUUCGACACAACUAGUGUUCCUGCUCGGAUUCCUGAGAACCGAAUUCGGAGCACACGAUCUGUAGAGAACCUGCCUGAAUGUGGUAUCACUCAUGAGCAGCGAGCCGGCAGCUUCAGCACGGUGCCCAAUUAUGACAAUGAUGACGAAGCCUGGUCGGUGGAUGAUAUAGGCGAGCUACAGGUGGAGCUCCCUGAAGUCCACACCAACAGCUGUGACAACAUCUCCCAGUUCUCUGUGGACAGCAUCACCAGCCAGGAGAGCAAGGAGCCUGUGUUCAUUGCAGCAGGGGACAUCCGACGGCGCCUUUCAGAACAACUGGCUCACACUCCCACAGCCUUUAAACGAGACCCUGAAGACCCUUCUGCAGUUGCCCUCAAAGAGCCCUGGCAGGAGAAAGUGCGGAGGAUCAGAGAAGGCUCCCCGUAUGGUCAUCUUCCCAAUUGGCGGCUCCUGUCAGUCAUUGUCAAGUGUGGAGAUGACCUUCGGCAGGAGCUGCUGGCUUUCCAGGUGUUGAAGCAACUGCAGUCGAUUUGGGAGCAGGAACGAGUGCCUCUUUGGAUCAAGCCAUAUAAGAUUCUUGUGAUUUCAGCCGACAGUGGCAUGAUUGAACCAGUAGUCAAUGCUGUGUCCAUCCAUCAGGUGAAGAAACAGUCACAGCUCUCCUUGCUCGAUUACUUCCUACAGGAGCAUGGCAGUUACACCACUGAGGCAUUCCUCAGUGCCCAGCGCAAUUUUGUGCAAAGUUGUGCUGGCUACUGCUUGGUCUGCUAUCUAUUGCAAGUCAAGGACAGGCACAAUGGGAACAUUCUUCUCGACGCAGAAGGUCACAUCAUCCACAUCGACUUUGGCUUCAUCCUCUCCAGCUCACCCCGAAACCUGGGCUUCGAGACAUCAGCCUUUAAGCUGACCACUGAGUUUGUGGAUGUAAUGGGCGGCCUCAACGGAGACAUGUUCAACUACUACAAGAUGCUCAUGCUGCAGGGGCUGAUUGCUGCUCGGAAGCAUAUGGACAAGGUGGUGCAGAUUGUGGAGAUCAUGCAGCAAGGUGCGGCUGGGGAGCCCAGGGCCUGGACUGCCCUCAGGUUGAGUUGCCUGGAACUUAGAAUUUUAGGAAGUUGAUCCCACCUCAAGACUCAGGUGGGGGAGGGCUUCUCAGGGGGGUUCCAUUUCCCCUUUAGAACACUCUUCUUCACCCUAGCAGAAGGGUGGGGGAGGGGGAUGCAAGAGGAAAGGAACAGCAGAAAGCUCUUAGGUACCCUCAUAGAGAAAACACCCAUCUUCGGCCUCCUGGUAUUUCCAGUCUUCCUCAUUCAACUGUUUUUCUCUGUCUCCUUCUCUGCUAAAUCUGGUGCUUCUACCCACUGUCCUCCCAUCACACUUGACAUAACUGCCCUGGCCUCAGCCACCACUUCAAGCUACCUUCCUUUUCUUAAUAACCUAUCCUGCUCUGAACUGAGUUCCUCCUGAUUCUCGUCUUUUACUGUUCACUCUGCUGCUUCCCCAGUCCCUCAGUCAUUUUCAUAGGAUCCCUUAUCCCAAUUCCUCUGGGCCCCCUCUUAUCCCCCCCCCCAUAAAAACCCUUUCAGAUAUGUACCCCACCUAAGCUGCCAGUCUCCUCCCCAUCCUUGCCCAUAACCCACAGGUUGCCGCCGUUGCUCAGGAGCAUCUCUGUCUGGCCCCGUGGUGACGGUGGCCCAGGUCAUCUGUUCACAGCUUCCUUGCUUCCAUGGCUCCAGCACCAUUCGCAAUCUCAAAGAGAGAUUCCACAUGAGCAUGACUGAGGAGCAGCUCCAGCUGCUGGUGGAGCAGAUGGUGGAUGGCAGCAUGAGGUCCAUCACCACCAAACUCUACGACGGCUUCCAGUACCUCACCAAUGGCAUCAUGUGAUACCCUUCUCAGGCCCAGAAGUGGUGGGAUCGAAGGCACCCUUCCUAGGA